UACGUAGGGUCCGAGCGUUGUCCGGAAUUACUGGGCGUAAAGAGCUCGUAGGUGGUUUGUCGCGUUGUUCGUGAAAACUCACAGCUCAACUGUGGGCGUGCGGGCGAUACGGGCAGACUAGAGUACUGCAGGGGAGACUGGAAUUCCUGGUGUAGCGGUGGAAUGCGUAGAUAUCUGGAGGAAUACCGGUGGCGAAGGCGGCAUCCUGGACCGACAUUGACGCUGAUGAGCGAAAGCUAGGGGAGCAAACGGG
rnacentral:rRNA from 1 species